AGAGUUUGAUCAUGGCUCAGAACGAACGCUGGCGGCAUGCCUAACACAUGCAAGUCGAACGGGAUCCGGACUUCGGUUCGGUGAGAGUGGCGGACGGGUGAGUAACGCGUGGGAACCUGCCCAGUGGUGGGGGAUAACUGCGGGAAACUGCAGCUAAUACCGCAUGAGCCCGAGAGGGGAAAGAUUUAUCGCCAUUGGAGGGGCCCGCGUUCGAUUAGGUAGUUGGUGAGGUAACGGCUCACCAAGCCGACGAUCGAUAGCUGGUCUGAGAGGAUGAUCAGCCACACUGGGACUGAGAUACGGCCCAGACUCCUACGGGAGGCAGCAGUGGGGAAUAUUGGACAAUGGGGGCAACCCUGAUCCAGCAAUGCCGCGUGAGUGAUGAAGGCCUUCGGGUUGUAAAGCUCUUUUGCCAGGGACGAUGAUGACGGUACCUGGAGAAUAAGCCCCGGCUAACUUCGUG
rnacentral:rRNA from 1 species